UUGCUACCAUUGCCAUUGUUAGCGUUGCCAUUUCCUUUUAUUAGGUAAAUAAGCAAAUAUAUUAAAAGCGGAAGGAAAAGGUGCACCAGGUAUACAUGGAGUAUACAAGGAGUGUCAAAAUGCAGGAGAAAGGAAAAAAACAAACAAACAAACAAACAAUGCACAAUCCAAAACAAAGACAACCCUAUGGAUCAUAGAAAUAGAGAGGGCUCCCAAACGACUUAACCCAGUCCACAUUUUGCUAUCUGAUGAGGGCCAACAAACCACCUAGAAAAAGAGCAACAACAACCUGUUUCACCAAAAUCUCACUCCCCCAAGCCACUACCUGACACACUUAUCAGUGGUCAGGACACUCAGAAACCAGAUCCCACCUGCACUUCCUGCUCCUCUCAUUUUCACUUGAAUGAUUGUAGUUAAUGAAGCAUUCCAACUUUCAAAGCUCUCUUUCAAAGCAAGAAGCAGAGGAAGGCCUCCUCUGAAUACUCGAGCCUACCACUCUAUGACACCCUUUAUGACUUCCAGCUUUCUCAAAGCCUUCCAUUGGCAAACCCAGGCACUCACUAAAGGAGACAACAUCUCAGGGAAGUCCAAAACCAAACCUCCAUUGGAAAAUAGACGCAAAAGCCCACAACCAUUGCCCCUACUUUUUAUUGAAACCCCUCAUUUUGCUCCCUCAAUGGAGCAACGCGAUUAGCCAUCGCCAACAAUGCAACCCAUCUUUGAACAUAGAAGAAGAAGAACAAGGCGAAGGGGAAGUUCUACCCCCCAACAUGAAAGCAGAAGAAAAAUCCUUACCCUUAAAACCAUCUGCUGGGCAUCUGCAGAUGGCGAUCUUACCUCAAGGCUUUAUGCUAUUGUUAAGAUGUAAGGAUCUGGGAGAAGCUUUUGGAUGACCUUACCUUCAAAAACCAUCUGCUUCAAACAAAAGGGCGUCUGCAGAUGGUGAUCUUACCUCAAGGCUUUGUGCUAUUGUUAAGAUGCAAGGAUCUGGGAGAAGCUUCUGGAUGACCUUAUUACCUUCACUAGCAAGAAGCAUGGCUUCUUAAGUACACUUUUGGGUCCACUAGCACACGGGUCCUCAACAAGAAAACCAUAGCCCAAGUCUAGGAGGGUAACCCUCGGAUCAAAGAUGACCGGCCCAAAGAACAACCCCCCAACAAGGGAGGUUGGGCCAUAGCAACAGAAGAAAGGCAAGGCCUAAGAAACUUAGGGCCCCCCACUUCCCACCUCCCGACCCCAUCACCACCACAAAUGUCACCAUCUUCUCCAUGGAAUCUUCAAAUAAAUGGGUUUCUAUCAUUUUGUUUGAUACAUAUACAGAUUCUUUGUUUCAAAAUCUUCUAAGCAAUUUCAAAUACUUUAUCUACGAUAAUCUAAGUUAAAUUUGGUUUGAGAUUGAGUAGGUACUUGCUAUGUGAUGCUUACUGGAGUUCUUAAUGUGAUUUUUGUUCUAGCAUUAGUGUAAUUCUUGAAGGAAAAAAAUAGAUGUACUAUUUACAGUUUUUUCAAAUACCGUAUCUACGGUAAUCUAAGUUAAUUUUGGUUUGAGAUUGAGUAGGUACUUGCUAUGUAAUGCUUACUGGAGUUCUUGUAUUAGUGUAAUUCUUGAGGGAAAAAAAAAAAUAGAUGUACUAUUUACAGUUUUUUCUCAAGUAAUAAAAUGAAGAAUUUUGUUAGGAGAAAUGGAGAAAACAAGGUUGAACAGUGUGUCCUUUUCAAAGCAUUACACAACCAAAGAUACAAGGUCAAACCUCCUGGCCAAUUGUUGGACAGUGGUUUAAACUUCCAUCAGAAAUGCCUUUUUGUUCUUCAAAUAUAAUUGCUCCUUGUUUGCAAGGAAGUGAGCAUCAAUAUUGGUGGACCUCUACCUACCUAUUUUCAAUUUGUGAUGUAUUGAGAAAUGCAUAACUUCCCUAAUAUGGUGGAUGAUCCACCAUGGCCCUGAAUUAUUAGAAGUACCCAUCUUAUAAUGGAGGAAGGACCCUCCUGACCAUCAGUCUAUCCUAACCAAUUCAUGUAGUAGCUUCCUUAUUGUAAUAAUUAUUCUUCAGAAGAGAAGUUCUGCGGAUAAUUUGAUUUUCACUCUCUUUGAAUCUUAUUUUAUCAUACACAAAAAUCAAAUUAAAAUGCUGAUAAGACAUAAUUUACUUUGUGUUCCUGUUUGCCACAUUUCAUUUACGUUAACAAGCAUUAAGUAUAAGGCAUCCUUGCAUUUUUCUUAAAGUCUUGAAAGAGGUCCUAGAGUUUAUGCUGAGUUCCUUUUUCUUUUCAUUUAUUUUUUGACUGAAUGAAAUGAAAUGGAGCUAAGUUAAACUCCAUGACAGGAUGUUCCUGCUCACUCGCACCAUGAAAUUGAG
rnacentral:lncRNA from 1 species